GAGUUUGAUUCUGGCUCAGAACGAACGCUGGCGGCGUGGAUAAGACAUGCAAGUCGAACGGGGCCAGGUUUGUAGUAAUACAAGCUUGGUUCAGUGGCGCACGGGUGCGUAACACGUGAGCAAUCUGCCGGGAAGUGGGGGAUAGCUCGCCGAAAGGCGAAUUAAUACCGCAUAUGGCCAUUCUUCGAGUGGAGGAAAAGCCAAAGCAGCAAUGCGCUUCCUGAUGAGCUCGCRGCCUAUCAGCUAGAUGGCGGGGUAACAGCCCACCAUGGCUAUGACGGGUAGCUGGUCUGAGAGGACGACCAGCCACACUGGAACUGAGAUACGGUCCAGACACCUACGGGUGGCAGCAGUCGAGAAUUUUUCACAAUGGGGGCAACCCUGAUGGAGCGACGCCGCGUGGAGGAUGAAGGCCUUCGGGUUGUAAACUCCUGUCAUGCGGGAACAAGAAAGUGAUAGUACCGCAAGAGGAAGAGACGGCUAACUCUGUGCCAGCAGCCGCGGUAAUACAGAGGUCUCAAGCGUUGUUCGGAUUCAUUGGGCGUAAAGGGUGCGUAGGUGGUGACGCAAGUCUGGUGUGAAAUCUCGGAGCUCAACUCCGAAAUUGCACCGGAUACUGCGUGACUCGAGGACUGUAGAGGAGAUCGGAAUUCACGGUGUAGCAGUGAAAUGCGUAGAUAUCGUGAGGAAGACCAGUUGCGAAGGCGGAUCUCUGGGCAGUUCCUGACACUGAGGCACGAAGGCCAGGGGAGCAAACGGGAUUAGAUACCCCGGUAGUCCUGGCAGUAAACGGUGCACGUUUGGUGUGGGCGGGUUCAGACCCCGUCCGUGCCGGAGCUAACGCGUUAAACGUGCCGCCUGGGAAGUACGGUCGCAAGAUUAAAACUCAAAUGAAUUGACGGGG
rnacentral:rRNA from 1 species